rnacentral:lncRNA from 1 species
GAUGUCACAUUAUUUUCAAAGAGAAGUGCCAGUGUAAACAAAUAUUCUAUGUGAAAUACAGAAUUUAUUGAGAAUAUUACAAGAAAAUUGUUUAAAAAAUAAAGAUCAGUUCACUCAGGAGUUUUAAAGAAGUUUGUGAAACCCUGAACAAAGAAUAUAUAAAUCUUGUGAAGCAUGUGGAAACUUGAUUGCUUACCCAAAGAAGAGUUCUCAAUAGGGUAUUUGAGCUGAAAGGUAAGUUGAAGAAAUCAUUUGCUAGGAAACUAUUGCUCAGGUUGUGUUGAGUGCUUUAAAGAUGAGUCAUGGCUACAAAAACUAAAGUAUCUCUCAGACAUUUUUGAUCCCCUGAAAUUACUGAGUAGGAAUCCACUCUGCACUGUGCACUGUAGUUUUUGUUUGUUUGUUUGUUUGUUUUUGCCUUUGAGUGACAAUAGCCCUGGUUUUCUGGUUUUUAAAGAAAAGUUAUUUGGAAAAAUCUUCAGAAAAUCUGUGGAAAAAUCAUUUUGCAACAGGAAAUGUUGAAAUGUUUCCACAACUUCUUGGACUUGGGAUGGAGAAAGAAAAUCAUAAUAUCUUGUCUUACUACAAACGACCUGAAAGGACUUCAGAUCAAAAUUGAAGAGUCAUUUACUCCCUUUUCAAUACAACUGCAUGGCUGGGUGAGAGAAAUCGAACUUUUUUUAGCCUGAAAUCUUGACUUUAGCAAUGAAAAAAAGAACUUUGUGCUGAUCAUUCACCUUAGAUGAAAUUUGCUGAUCUUCUCUUCUUUAGGUCUGGAUUUCUAUGAAAAAGGGUGUCCUAGCAAUGAACAUUUUGCUGUAGUUUUCCACAUUUUAUGUAGAAAGGAUUCUAAAAGGUUUGAUCUAAAGAACCAUUUUGAAAUACGUUACAUCACAAUAUCCCAGAGAAUAAUGCAAUUCCCCAAGAGAACUGAGUAUGGAGCUGGCAAUCUCUGAGGAUCUGUGGAACUUUUACCCUUUUGAAUGGAACGCAUCCUAUGAAACUUGGACUACUUCGAAUCUCCACCCAUGUAUAGUUUCACUCUCGUUGCCCAGGCUGGAGUGCAAUGGUGCAAUCUUGGCUCAUCACAACCUGCGCCUACCAGGUUCAAGCGAUUCUCCAUCCUCAGCCUUCUGAGUAGUUGGUCUUUUUUUUUUAAUUAAAACUUGAUGUUUUCAUUUAUUCUGGUAAUAACUAUACCUGCUUUUCCAUAUACUUAGAUUUUACUGCCACAAGAAAAUAUAAAUAUUUCUGAAAUGUAUAAAUUUAUAUUUAAGGCUUUGUAAAGUCAUUCUGUCAAUUCUACCAAUUUUAUAUUAAAUUUAAAACUAAAAUUGAUAAAAUUUACUUUGUAAUAAUGAAUAGUAAAUAUUCGAUUUUUUCUCUUUUUCCACAUACUUGGAGUUUAGGAGACUUUCAGAGUUAAAUUUUAGAGUUAAUUCUAGAGUGAAAUAAUUCUUUCAGAGUUACAGACUACUGUAACUGUAUAGAAUAUGACUAUUAUAUGCCAAGUACCCCUCUAAAAGUAUGAUAUGUUCUAAGUAAUUAAUGCUUCAUAACUACCUAACAUGGAAAAUUACUAUUGUUCUUAUUUUCACAGAUGAAACUGAGACACAAAGAGUUUGCACAAUUUUCACAUUUUACACAGCU